UAGGGAAUCUUCGGCAAUGGGGGGAACCCUGACCGAGCAACGCCGCGUGAGUGAAGAAGGUUUUCGGAUCGUAAAGCUCUGUUGUUAAGGAAGAACGAGUGUGAGAAUGGAAAGUUCAUGCUGUGACGGUACUUAACCAGAAAGGGACGGCUAACUACGUGCCAGCAGCCGCGGUAAUACGUAGGUCCCGAGCGUUGUCCGGAUUAAUUGGGCGUAAAGCGAGCGCAGGCGGUUAGAAAAGUCUGAAGUGAAAGGCAGUGGCUCAACCCUUGUAGGCUUUGGAAACUGUAUAACUUGAGUGCAGAAAGGGAGAGUGGAAUUCCAUGUGUAGCGGUGAAAUGCGUAGAUAUAUGGAGGAGCACCGGUAGCGAAAGCGGCUCUCUGGUAUGUAAAUGACGCUGAAGCUCGAAAGCGUGGGGAGCGAACAGG
rnacentral:rRNA from 1 species